rnacentral:rRNA from 1 species
AGCAGCCGCGGUAAUUCCAGCUCCAAUAGCGUAUAUUAAAGUUGUUGCAGUUAAAAAGCUCGUAGUUGAAUUUCGGAAUCUGUCUGUUGGUCGGGCUUAACUGUCCGUACUGAUGUGAUGGGUUCUUACCUUCUGAAUAACUAGCAUGCCAUUAAUUUGGUGCGUUAGGGAAGCAGGACUAUUACCUUGAAAAAUUAGAGUGCUCAAAGCAGGCUAGUGCCUGAAUACAUUAGCAUGGAAUAAUAAAAUAGGACGGCAUGGUUCUAUUUUGUUGGUUUCUAGGAUCACCGUAAUGAUUAAUAGGGAUAGUUGGGGGCAUUAGUAUUCAAUUGUCAGAGGUGAAAUUCUUGGAUUUAUUGAAGACUAACUUCUGCGAAAGCAUUUGCCAAGGAUGUUUUCAUUAAUCAAGAACGAAAGUUAGGGGAUCGAAGACGAUCAGAUACCGUCGUAGUCUUAACCAUAAACUAUGCCGACUAGGGAUCGGACGAUGUUAAUUUAUAAUGACUCGUUCGGUACG